GACGUAGGAUGCAAGCGUUGUCCGGAUUUAUUGGGCGUAAAGAGUUCGUAGGUGGUUUGUUAAGUCUGAUGUUAAAGACUGGGGCUCAACCUCGGAAAUGCAUUGGAUACUGGCAGACUUGAGUGUGGUAGAGGCAAUCGGAAUUCCAGGUGUAGCGGUGAAAUGCGUAGAUAUCUGGAAGAACACCGGUGGCGCAAGCGGAUUGCUGGGCCAUAACUGACACUGAGGAACGAAAAGCUAGGGGAGCAAAUGGG
rnacentral:rRNA from 1 species